rnacentral:rRNA from 1 species
GUCUACGGCCAUGCCAUGCUGAAUGUGCCUGAUCUUGUCUGAUCUUGGAAGCUAAGCAGGGUCGGGCCUCAUUAGUACUUGGAUAGAAGACCACUUAGGAAUAUCAGGUGCUGUAGGCA